rnacentral:rRNA from 1 species
AUUGAACGCUGGCGGCAGGCCUAACACAUGCAAGUCGAGCGGUAGCACAGGAGAGCUUGCUCUCUGGGUGACGAGCGGCGGACGGGUGAGUAAUGUCUGGGAAACUGCCUGAUGGAGGGGGAUAACUACUGGAAACGGUAGCUAAUACCGCAUAACGUCUUCGGACCAAAGUGGGGGACCUUCGGGCCUCACGCCAUCAGAUGUGCCCAGAUGGGAUUAGCUAGUAGGUGGGGUAAUGGCUCACCUAGGCGACGAUCCCUAGCUGGUCUGAGAGGAUGACCAGCCACACUGGAACUGAGACACGGUCCAGACUCCUACGGGAGGCAGCAGUGGGGAAUAUUGCACAAUGGGCGCAAGCCUGAUGCAGCCAUGCCGCGUGUGUGAAGAAGGCCUUCGGGUUGUAAAGCACUUUCAGCGAGGAGGAAGGGUAGUGUGUUAAUAGCACAUUGCAUUGACGUUACUCGCAGAAGAAGCACCGGCUAACUCCGUGCCAGCAGCCGCGGUAAUACGGAGGGUGCAAGCGUUAAUCGGAAUUACUGGGCGUAAAGCGCACGCAGGCGGUUUGUUAAGUCAGAUGUGAAAUCCCCGCGCUUAACGUGGGAACUGCAUUUGAAACUGGCAAGCUAGAGUCUUGUAGAGGGGGGUAGAAUUCCAGGUGUAGCGGUGAAAUGCGUAGAGAUCUGGAGGAAUACCGGUGGCGAAGGCGGCCCCCUGGACAAAGACUGACGCUCAGGUGCGAAAGCGUGGGGAGCAAACAGG